UUAGAGAUUUCAGGUUGUAAAAACCUUACAUGUCUUCCAGACAACAUGGGUUCUCUUAAAUCCCUUACAUAUUUAAAGAUUUUAAGAUGUAAAAACCUUACAUGUCUUCCAAACAGCAUGGGUUCUCUUAAAUCCCUUACAUAUUUAAAGAUUUUAAGAUGUAAAAACCUUACAUGUCUUCCAAACAGCAUGUGUUCUCUUAAAUCCCUUACAUAUUUAGAGAUUAAAUUUUGUAAAAACCUUACAUGUCUUCCAAACAACAUGGGUUCUUUUAAAUCCCUUACACAUUUAGUGAUUUAUUAUUGUCCAAAUCUCACCUCUCUUCCCAACGACAUGGGUUCUCUUAAAUCCCUUACACAUUUAAAGAUUUCAUCUUGUAAAAAGCUCACAUGUCUUCCAAACAACAUGGGUUCUCUUAAAUCCCUUAUACAUUUACAGAUUUCAUAUUGUGAAAACCUUUCAUGUCUUCCAAACAACAUGGGUUCUCUUAAAUCCCUUACACAUUUAGAAAUUUCAAAUUGUAAAAACCUUACAUGUCUUCCAAACAACAUGGGUUCUCUUAAAUCCCUUACACAUUUAGAGAUUUCAAAUUGUUAAAACCUCAUAUGUCUUCCAAACAAUAUGGGUUCUCUUAAAUCCCUUACACAUUUAGAGAUUUCAUUUUGUGAAAAC
rnacentral:lncRNA from 1 species